rnacentral:rRNA from 1 species
UACGAACCGUGCGAACGUUAUUCGGAAUCACUGGGCUUAAAGCGCGUGUAGGCGGGCCGCCGCGUCGGCUGCUGAAAUCCCCCGGCUCAACCGGGGAACGGGCACCGAUACGGGCGGCCUCGAGGGGGGUAGGGGGGCCUGGAACUUCCGGUGGAGCGGUGAAAUGCGUUGAGAUCGGAAGGAACGCCCGUGGCGAAAGCGAGGCCCUGGACCCUUUCUGACGCUGAGACGCGAAAGCCAGGGGAGCGAACGGG